rnacentral:rRNA from 2 species
UCGAACGAGUUCUGAUUAUUGAAAGGUGCUUGCAUCUUGAUUUAAUUUUGAACGAGUGGCGGACGGGUGAGUAACACGUGGGUAACCUGCCCUUAAGUGGGGGAUAACAUUUGGAAACAGAUGCUAAUACCGCAUAAAUCCAAGAACCGCAUGGUUCUUGGCUGAAAGAUGGCGUAAGCUAUCGCUUUUGGAUGGACCCGCGGCGUAUUAGCUAGUUGGUGAGGUAACGGCUCACCAAGGCAAUGAUACGUAGCCGAACUGAGAGGUUGAUCGGCCACAUUGGGACUGAGACACGGCCCAAACUCCUACGGGAGGCAGCAGUAGGGAAUCUUCCACAAUGGACGCAAGUCUGAUGGAGCAACGCCGCGUGAGUGAAGAAGGCUUUCGGGUCGUAAAACUCUGUUGUUGGAGAAGAAUGGUCGGCAGAGUAACUGUUGUCGGCGUGACGGUAUCCAACCAGAAAGCCACGGCUAACUACGUGCCAGCAGCCGCGGUAAUACGUAGGUGGCAAGCGUUAUCCGGAUUUAUUGGGCGUAAAGCGAGCGCAGGCGGUUUUUUAAGUCUGAUGUGAAAGCCCUCGGCUUAACCGAGGAAGUGCAUCGGAAACUGGGAAACUUGAGUGCAGAAGAGGACAGUGGAACUCCAUGUGUAGCGGUGAAAUGCGUAGAUAUAUGGAAGAACACCAGUGGCGAAGGCGGCUGUCUGGUCUGUAACUGACGCUGAGGCUCGAAAGCAUGGGUAGCGAACAGGAUUAGAUACCCUGGUAGUCCAUGCCGUAAACGAUGAAUGCUAGGUGUUGGAGGGUUUCCGCCCUUCAGUGCCGCAGCUAACGCAUUAAGCAUUCCGCCUGGGGAGUACGACCGCAAGGUUGAAACUCAAAGGAAUUGACGGGGGCCCGCACAAGCGGUGGAGCAUGUGGUUUAAUUCGAAGCAACGCGAAGAACCUUACCAGGUCUUGACAUCUUUUGAUCACCUGAGAGAUCAGGUUUCCCCUUCGGGGGCAAAAUGACAGGUGGUGCAUGGUUGUCGUCAGCUCGUGUCGUGAGAUGUUGGGUUAAGUCCCGCAACGAGCGCAACCCUUAUGACUAGUUGCCAGCAUUUAGUUGGGCACUCUAGUAAGACUGCCGGUGACAAACCGGAGGAAGGUGGGGAUGACGUCAAAUCAUCAUGCCCCUUAUGACCUGGGCUACACACGUGCUACAAUGGAUGGUACAACGAGUUGCGAGACCGCGAGGUCAAGCUAAUCUCUUAAAGCCAUUCUCAGUUCGGACUGUAGGCUGCAACUCGCCUACACGAAGUCGGAAUCGCUAGUAAUCGCGGAUCAGCACGCCGCGGUGAAUACGUUCCCGGGCCUUGUACACACCGCCCGUCACACCAUGAGAGUUUGUAACACCCGAAGCCGGUGGCGUAACCCUUUUAGGGAGCGAG